rnacentral:rRNA from 1 species
AUGCCCUUCACCACGGAAUAGCCUCUGGAAACGGAGAGUAAUACCGUAUGCGCCCUUCGGGGAAAGAUUUAUCGGUGAAGGAUUAGCCCGCGUCUGAUUAGAUAGUUGGUGGGGUAACGGCCUACCAAGUCGACGAUCAGUAGCUGGUUUGAGAGGAUGAUCAGCAACACUGGGACUGAGACACGGCCCAGACUCCUACGGGAGGCAGCAGUGGGGAAUCUUAGACAAUGGGCGCAAGUGAUCUAGCCAUGCCGCGUGAGUGACGAAGGCCUUAGGGUCGUAAAGCUCUUUCGCCAGGGAUGAUAAUGACAGUACCUGGUAAAGAAACCCCGGCUAACUUCGUGCCAGCAGCCGCGGUAAUACGGAGGGGGUUAGCGUUGUUCGGAAUUACUGGGCGUAAAGCGCGCGUAGGGGAUUGGAAAGUUGGGGGUGAAAUCCCGGGGCUCAACCCCGAACUGCCUCCAAAACUAUCAGUCUAGAGUUCGAGAGAGGUGAGUGGAAUUCCAAGUGUAGAGGUGAAAUUCGUAGAUAUUUGGAGGAACACCAGUGGCGAAGGGGCUCACUGGCUCGAUACUGACGCUGAGGUGCGAAAGUGUGGGGAGCAAACAGGAUUAGAUACCCUGGUAGUCCACACCGUAAACGAUGAAUGCCAGACGUCGGGGGGCUUGCCUUCGGUGUCACACCUAACGGAUUAAGCAUUCCGCCUGGGGAGUACGGUC